rnacentral:rRNA from 1 species
UACGUAGGGUGCGAGCGUUAAUCGGAAUUACUGGGCGUAAAGCGUGCGCAGGCGGUUUGGUAAGACAGAUGUGAAAUCCCCGGGCUUAACCUGGGAACUGCGUUUGUUACUGGCAAGCUAGAGUGUGUCAGAGGGAGGUAGAAUUCCACGUGUAGCAGUGAAAUGCGUAGAUAUGUGGAGGAAUACCGAUGGCGAAGGCAGCCUCCUGGGAUAACACUGACGCUCAUGCACGAAAGCGUGGGGAGCAAACAGG